AUGGCUUUACCUGGCACAGCAUCAAAGCUGUUGACAAGCAAGCAAGAGAAAGUCCACCCAAGCCUGGCAUGUCUGGAUAUGUACAAACUCGUGUUGAUCUUCAUCUCUCAGCCACUUUGAAGUAAACCUUCCUAGUGUCCUGCCAGGCAUUAGGAAAAUGAAGAA